CUCUCUCCACCCGUGCAGGCAACACGGCGGCAGCAGCAGCAGCAGCAGGAGAGGAGCCGGACUCACAGCGACCAGGUGUUAUGGUGUGAUGAUGAGAAGGACACAGCGCUGGAGGGGCUGACUGACAUGUAGGAUAUCAACAGGUGGAUGCAGAGUUCUUCCUGGUGAGGACAGUAAUGAGGAGGGAGAGCCACGUGGGUCAGUGUGUGGCGCGCAGCCGUUUACUCGCCAUUAAAGGCUAAUAGAAAUAGAAGAACAGCCGAGAGGUCAGCAAAGCUGCAGCCGCAGACAUCAACAGGAAAUGGGAGCGAACAAAGACCCUGCAGGUGGGUUCAGCAAAACAAGACAUUAUCAUUCAUUUACUGAAUAUUUGUCAUUCAAAACACAACCUUCAGCAGCGGAUACUGAAGAGAUGUUUGACUGGAAUCACCCACGAAUGUUGAAUAUGAAAACAAUUAUCUGAUAUCUUUUGUCCUCUUCCCUUUUGUCACGUUUCCUCUUCUUCUCUUCCAACUAUUUAUCUUAA